GAAGUGGUGCUUCUGGAGAGAUGGAAGAUACUCUGGGUGGAAAGCAAAGGUUUAAAGGGCCAGCAUUGCCCUAGGCGCCCCUAGCUCACAAGGGUCCCCAGGGACAGGGUGAGGUCGGGAGCUGAAAAGGCUGCAGUCUUUAUCUCUCCUUGCCUUUCGUGACUGGAGUACUGAGAGAGGCUGUAGACCGUCUUGAAAGGUUGCAGUAGGAAGAACUAGAAAGGGACGGGAAAAUGCGUCUCGGGAAGUCAGAUGUGCAGAGGUGUCGCGGCAGCGGGAGUCCAUGUCAUCUGAUCUAGAGCGGCUCUCCCCGCCCAGGCUGGCCUGAGACUAGACUGCCCCUUGUUCCUGCACCUGCGCGAUCCACCUCGGAACUACCACUGAGAUCCUGUGAGUCGGGAGAGGGGCGCCAGCCGGGCUGCUGGCUG
rnacentral:lncRNA from 1 species